ensembl:lncRNA
CGUUGCAUCUAAAGCCAAAAGCGACACGGCGCUUCCUACAAGAAGACGCACAAGUUUUACUGCUAAAGGAAUGAUGUUUUUUAUGCAAACGUGUCAGGAAAAGAGAUCGAUGCAAUACAAACGAGCCAAAUCGUACAUGAAUCAGAUGGAUAAGUUGAUGCAUUCUGCAGACAAUAUUGAUGCAGUCAAGUCUCUUUUGGAUCAAAUAAUAAUAUGUGUUGAUGAGGCAAAACAACAUCAUUUAUCAUUUGUGUCACUGGACAUACCUCAGGAUGAGAAGGAGAAACAAGAUAAAUAUUUUGAACAAAAGGAGAAGUGUUUUUCAAGCUUUAUUGAUGACGUCAAAGGCUGGUUAUCAAAUGCAGGCCAUUCAUAUGAACUUCCAAUUAAACCACCUGAUAAUCAAACUGAUAUUGGGCCUGAGGACAGUGUAUCCAAUAAAGGUUCUGCAGCGCGUUCAAAGGCUGGCUCUAAAUUGUCAAGGAUUUCAUCCAGUGCAUCUGCAAAAAUAUUAGCGCAAGCAGAGAGAGCAGCAUUACAGGAGCGCAUGGCUGCUCUAAAACAAAAGCACAGUUUGGAGGCGCAGGAGGAACAAAUAAGACUUGAACAAGAGGAAUUACGGAAGAAACGGGAACAUUUAAGGAGAGAAAAGGAACAUUUAAGGAGAGAAAAGGAACAACUUGCUCUGGAGGCAGAAUUAAAGCAACAUCAGAGCAGUGGCUUUGGAGAACAUGGAUUUGGACAGGGACCAACUCCCUGUGGAAAGAGCUCUGGGGAUGCAAUGGUGUGUUCAAGGAGAUACGUUCAGCUUCAGGACUGCAGUGCAGGAACGUCCACACACUAGGAGGGGCAUCCUUUCUGUGGUGAGCUCUCUUUACGACCCGCUGGGUUUUUUGUCUCCUUUCAUAAUCCCUGCCAAGUUACUGUUACAGGAGCUGUGCAGAAUGAACUUCAAAUGGGAUGAGCCAGUUCCCUGUGAUGUCUCUGAACAUUGGUCUGAGUGGCUCUCUGAACUUCAACAUAUGAGUGGAUUUAAAGUGGAACGGUGCAUUAAACCCAAAAACUUUGGAACACAAUUGAAAGCAGAACUGCAUCAUUUUUCAGAUGCUAGUCAAAUAGGAUAUGGCACUGUUUCAUACUUGAGAUUGGAGAGCACUGACAAUGUGCAUGUUUCAUUUAUCACAGGCAAAGCUCGUGUCGCUCCUCUAAAGCAACUAACCAUUCCACGCCUUGAGCUUGCUGCAGCUGUGCUUGCUGUUCGAGUGAACACAAUGCUGUUGAAAGAGCUACAGUUGCCAUUGCAAAGGUCAUUCUUUUGGACCGAUAGCACUACUGUUCUCAAGUACAUCUUUAAUGAAACAAAGCGC